GAAAGAUGGUGAACUAUGCCUGAGCGGGGCGAAGCCAGAGGAAACUCUGGUGGAGGCCCGCAGCGAUACGCAUGUGCAAAUCAUUCGUCUAACUUAGGUAUAGGGACGAAAGACUAAUCGAGCCGUCUAGUAGCU
rnacentral:rRNA from 1 species